rnacentral:rRNA from 1 species
GAUGAACGCUGGCGGCGUGCCUAAUACAUGCAAGUCGAGCGAACGGACGAGAAGCUUGCUUCUCUGAUGUUAGCGGCGGACGGGUGAGUAACACGUGGAUAACCUACCUAUAAGACUGGGAUAACUUCGGGAAACCGGAGCUAAUACCGGAUAAUAUUUUGAACCGCAUGGUUCAAAAGUGAAAGACGGUCUUGCUGUCACUUAUAGAUGGAUCCGCGCUGCAUUAGCUAGUUGGUAAGGUAACGGCUUACCAAGGCAACGAUGCAUAGCCGACCUGAGAGGGUGAUCGGCCACACUGGAACUGAGACACGGUCCAGACUCCUACGGGAGGCAGCAGUAGGGAAUCUUCCGCAAAGGGCGAAAGCCUGACGGAGCAACGCCGCGUGAGUGAUGAAGGUCUUCGGAUCGUAAAACUCUAUUAUUAGGGAAGAACAUAUGUGUAAGUAACUGUGCACAUCUUGACGGUACCUAAUCAGAAAGCCACGGCUAACUACGUG